rnacentral:rRNA from 1 species
UACAGAGGUCCCAAGCGUUGUUCGGAUUUACUGGGCGUAAAGGGUGCGUAGGUGGUUGGAUAAGUCUGAUGUGAAAUCUCCGAGCUUAACUCGGAAAUGGCAUUGGAAACUAUUCGACUAGAGAGUUGGAGGGGGGACUGGAAUACUUGGUGUAGCAGUGAAAUGCGUAGAUAUCAAGUGGAACACCAGUGGCGAAGGCGGCAACCUGGACAGAUAUUGACGCUGAUGUACGAAAGCGUGGGGAGCAAACAGG